rnacentral:rRNA from 1 species
CAGCGUGCCUAAUACAUGCAAGUCGAGCGCAGGAAACAAGUAGAUCCCUUCGGGGUGACGCUUGUGGAAUGAGCGGCGGACGGGUGAGUAACACGUGGGCAACCUACCUUGUAGACUGGGAUAACUCCGGGAAACCGGAGCUAAUACGGGAUGAUCAUUUGAAUCGCAUGAUUGAAAUGUAAAAGUGGGGAGUAAUCCUCACACUAUGAGAUGGGCCCGCGGCGCAUUAGCUAGUUGGUAAGGUAAUGGCUUACCAAGGCAACGAUGCGUAGCCGACCUGAGAGGGUGAUCGGCCACACUGGAACUGAGACACGGUCCAGACUCCUACGGGAGGCAGCAGUAGGGAAUCAUCCGCAAUGGGCGAAAGCCUGACGGUGCAACGCCGCGUGAACGAUGAAGGUUUUCGGAUCGUAAAGUUCUGUUAUGAGGGAAGAACAAGUGCCGUUCGAAUAGGGCGGCACCUUGACGGUACCUCACGAGAAGGCCCCGGCUAACUACGUG